rnacentral:rRNA from 1 species
CGGUCCUAAGGUAGCGAAAUUCCUUGUCGGGUAAGUUCCGACCUGCACGAAUGGCGUAACAAAGAGAGCGCUGUCUCAACGAGAGACUCGGCGAAAUUGUGGUAUCCGUGAAGACGCGGAUUGCCUGCGGUUAGACGAAAAGACCCCGUGGAGCUUUACUGUAACUUAAUCUUGAAUUACCGAAUUUGUUGCGUAGGAUAGGUGGGACCCUUUGAAGUCCCGGUUUUGGCCGGGAUGGAGGGAUCGGUGAAAUACCACCCUUCGAAUUUUGUGAUUCUAACCCCCAGGUUUAUAUCAACCGGGAGGACAGGGUUAGGCGGGCAGUUUAACUGGGGCGGUUGCCUCCUAAAAGGUAACGGAGGCGUUCCAAGGUACCCUCAGGGCCAAUAGAAAUGGCCUAUUGAGUGCAAGGGCAGAAGGGUGCUUGACUGCAAGACAGACAAGUCGAGCAGGUGCGAAAGCAGGACCUAGUGAUCCGGCGGUUUCAGCGUGGAAUUGCCGUCGCUCAACGGAUAAAAGCUACCCCGGGGAUAACAGGCUUAUUUCCUCCAAGAGUCCACAUCGACGAGGAAGUUUGGCACCUCGAUGUCGGCUCAUCCCAUCCUGGGGCUGUAGCAGGUCCCAAGGGUUUGGCUGUUCGCCAAUUAAAGGGGUACGUGAGCUGGGUUCAGUACGUCGUGAGACAGUACGGUCUCUAUCUACCGUGGGCGCAGGAAACUUGAGGGGAUUUGUCCUUAGUACGAGAGGACCGGGAUGAACGCACCUCUGGUGUGCCGGUUGUUCCGCCAGGAGCAUAGCCGGGUAGCCAUAUGCGGACAAGAUAAACGCUGAAAGCAUCUAAGCGUGAAACUUACCCCAAGAUUAGGUUUCCCUAAAGGUCACCCAUAGACUAUGGGUUUGAUAGGAUAGAAGUGGAAGUGCGGUAACGCAUGGAGCUAACUAUUACUAAUCGACCGUUUGGCUUGGCCAUAU